AACCACGAAACCACGCCAGCGAACCGGG
rnacentral:piRNA from 1 species